GUUUUUAUCUCAGGGCAAUAAUGGAACUAUCUUGUACACAGGAGACUUCAGAUUGGUGCAAGGAGAAGCUGCUAGAAUGGAGCUUCUGCACUCCGGGGGCAGGUACUGGGCCUCGUAUAGGUGGUUUUUUGCUUGUUUGUUUGUUUUGUGAAACGGAGUGUUGCUCUGUCACCCAGGCUGGAGGGCAGUGAUGCAAUCUUGGCUCACUGCAACCUCUGCCUCCAGAGUUCAAGUGAUUCUCCUGCCUCAGCCUCCCAAGUAGCUGGGAUAACAGGUGUGCACCACCACACUCAACUAAUUUUGUAUUUUUAGUAGAGAUGGGGUUUUGCCAUGUUCGCCAGGCUGGUCUUGAACUCCUGACCUCAGGUGAUCUGCCAGCCUUGGCCUCUCAAAUUGCUGAGAUUACAGGCAUGAGCCACUGUGCCUGGCCUGUUGUACAGUUCUUAUGUGUAUGACUGAAUAAAGUAUUAUUGUUCUGGCCAUAAACAGAACAAUAUUGUUCUGGCCAUAAACAGGUGUGGUGGCUCAAGCCUGUAAUCCCAGCAGUUUGGGAGGCCGAGGUGGGUGGAUCAUUUGAGGUCAGGAGUUCGAGACCAGAAUGGUCAACAUGGUGAAACCCUGUCUCUACUAAAAAAUACAAAAAUUAGCAAGGAGUGGUGAUGCACACCCGUGAUCCCGGAUACUUGGGAGGCUGAGGCAGGAGAAUUGCUUGAACCCGGGAGGUGGAGGAGGUGGCAGUGAGCAGACAUUGCACUUCAGCCUGGGCAACAGAGCAAAACUCCAUCUCAAAAAACAAAAAAAGUUACACAUAAUUUAUAUCACAUUGGAUGGCUAACAUCAAUUUUUUUCUUCUUUUCAGAGUCAAAGACAUCCAAAGUGUAUAUUUAGAUACUAUGUUGUGUGAUCCAAGAUUUUACCAAAUUCCAAGUCAGGAGGAGUGUUUACGUGGAGUCUUAGAGCUGGUUCAAAGCUGGAUCACUCAGAGCCUGUACCAUGUUGUGUGGCUGAACUGCAAAGCGGCUUAUGGCUAUGAAUAUUUGUUCACCAACCUUAGUGAAGAAUUAGGAGUCCAGACCUCCCAGUGCCAAGUGUAUAAGUGUGUCCAGAAUUGGUGGGUUCUUGGUCUCACUGACUUCAAGAAUGAAGCCGCGGACCAUCCUGGUGAGUGUUACAGUUCUUAAAGGUGGCGUGUCUGGAGUUUGUUCCUUCUGAUGUUCAGAUGUGUUCGAAGUUUCUUCCUUCUGGUGGGGUUCGUGGUCUCGCUGGCUCAGGAGUGAAGCUGCAGACCUUCACGGUGAGUGUUACAGCUCUUAAGGCUGCACGUCUGUAGUUGUUCAUUUCUCCCGGUGGGUUCAUGGUCUCGCUGGCUUCAGGAGUGAAGCUGCAGACCUUCUCAGUGAGUGUUACAGCUCAUAAAGGCAGUGUGGACGCAAAGAGUGAGCAGCAACAAGAUUUAUUGCAAAGAACAAAAGAACAAAGCUUCCACAGUGUGGAAGGGGACCCCAGCGGGUUGCCACUGCUGGCUCGGGCAGCCUGCUUUUAUUCUCUUACCUGGCCCCACCCACAUCCUGCUGAUUGGUCCAUUUUAAAGAGAGCCUGAGUGGUCUGUUUUGACAGGGCGCUGAUUGGCGCGUUUACAAUCCCUGAGCUAGACACAAAGGCUCCCCACGACCCCACUAGAUUAGCUAGAUACAGAGUGUCCACACAAAGGUUCUCCAAGUCCCCACCAUAAUGGCUAGAUACAGAGUGUCAAUUGUUGCAUUCACAAACCCUGAGCUAGACACAGGGUGCUGAUUGGUGUGUUUACAAACCUUGAGCUAGGUACAGAGUGCUGAUUGGUGUAUCUACAUUCCCUUAGCUAGACAUAAAGGUUCUACAAGUCCCCAUCAGACUCAGGAGCACAGCUGGCUACACCCAGUGGAUCCCGCACAGGAGCCGCAGGUGGAGCUGCCUGCCAGUCCCUCUCCGUGCGCCCACACUCUUCAGCCCUUGGGUUGUCGAUGGGACUGAGUGCAAUGGAGCAGGGGGCGGUGCUCCUUGGGGAGGCUCGGGCCACACAGGAUCCCAAGGAGGGGGGAGGCUAAGGAAUGAUGUGCUGCAGGUCCCGAGCCCUGCCCCGAGGGGAGCCAUCUAAGGCCCGGUGAGAAGUUGAGCAGAGCAGCUGCUGGCCGAGGUGCUAAGCCCUUCACUGCCCGGGCCGGCAAGGCCGGCCGGCAGCUCCUAGUGCGGGUCUGCCAAGCCCAUGCCCACCUGGAGCUCCAGCCGGCAGGCAAGCAGCGCGCGUAGCCCCGGUUCCGGCUCACGUCUCUCUCUCCACACCUCCCUGCAAGCUGAGGCAGCCAGCUCCGACCUUGGCCAGCCCAGAAAGGGGCUCCCACCGUGCAGCCGCGGGCUGAAGGGCUCCUCAAGUGCCGCCAAAGUGGGAGCCCAGGCAGAGGAGGCACCGAGCACGAGCGAGGGCUGUGAGGGCUGCCAACAUGCUGUCACCUCUCAUAAGGAGUGAGUAAUCUGAGCUUCUCCAGAAAGUCCAUUCCUGGUAGGCAUUGGGAAUAAGAAAUCUCAGAGUAUAAAUAAACAUCAAGUGGUAACACUUUUGUGAAUGGCUCCCAAAUUAGAUCUUAUUUUUUUUUUUUUCAUGAAGCACAGUUGCCCAAAACACGCUUAGCCUGAGAUGAAGCACAUAUUAGAGAAAGGUUCUCUCUAUAGCAUUAUGUAUUACUCGAAUGAGCAUUAAAAAGAGGAGACGGGACAUGCUCUCUCUAGCUAUUAUUACCUGCACUAUAGAGUUGACAUACACAAGCUCAUUAUUGCAUUAUGUUUUAUUCAACAAAAUAACUUUAAUGUUGAAGCUUAAAUUGAAUUCGCUAAAACAUCUUUGUCUCCAGCAUAGUGUGUCUCAAGUGUUUCCUUGGUGCCUGAAUUUUCUCCGGAAUUAUAGUGCUGAAGCUAUGGAAAUGGUGAAAUUAUAUGCAAUCUGCAAAACAAUGUGGCUAUAACGUGGUAAUUGGCCUUCCACAUAAUUAAAGGAACAUUUCCUCAUCAGAGCUGUUCCAUCAGAGACCCAAAGGCUAUCGUUGUACAAAUCACCCACUUAGGAAAACCUUUAUUCCCAGUAGCCUAUAAAAAUCUGCUUAUGCAAACAGAUUUGCUCAUUCAGUAACUUUAAUGGCUUCUCAUA
rnacentral:lncRNA from 1 species